GAUCGAGCUGGCGGUCCGCGCGAGGGCUACCGCCUGUCCCAGCCCCUGCCUCUCGGCGCCCCCUCGAUGCUCUUGACUGAGUGUCCGCAGGGUCCGAAGCGUUUACUUUGAAAAAAUUAGAGUGUUCCAAGCAGG
rnacentral:rRNA from 1 species